rnacentral:rRNA from 1 species
GAUGAACGCUGGCGGCGUGCUUAACACAUGCAAGUCGAACGAGAAAUGGAGACGGAAACCUUCGGGCGGAAGGCUUCAUUUCGAGUGGCGGACGGGUGAGUAACGCGUGGGUAACCUGCCUCAUACAGGGGGAUAACAGUUGGAAACGACUGUUAAUACCGCAUAAGACCACAGCACCGCAUGGUGCGGGGGUAAAAACUCCGGUGGUAUGAGAUGGACCCGCGUUCGAUUAGCCAGUUGGCGGGGUAACGGCCCACCAAAGCGACGAUCGAUAGCCGAUCUGAGAGGAUGACCGGCCACAUUGGGACUGAGACACGGCCCAAACUCCUACGGGAGGCAGCAGUGGGGAAUAUUGCACAAUGGGGGAAACCCUGAUGCAGCGACGCCGCGCGAGUGAAGAAGUACUUCGGUAUGUAAAGCUCUAUCAGCAGGGAAGAAAAUGACGGUACCUGAGUAAGAAGCCCCGGCUAACUACGUG